UUUUCGUUCUUCUUCCAAAUUUUUUUUUUCUGUUCUGGGUUUCUCGAGUAAAGAAGAAUGCUUCGAAGACUCGUGAAGGAGAAUCAUGUUCUGUAAUCUUAAAGAUUGGGUUUAUGAUUUUGGGCAUGGAACUAGUACAAACGCAUGAGUUUCUUCUCUGUCAUGGUGAUUUGGUUUUUGAGGAUUGAAAUCGAAUGAGUUCAAUUGAUCAGUUCACGACUGGGUUCUGUUCCUGUCUAAUCCUUGAAUCUUCUCCACCUCGUCGAGAUCAAGGGCAGACACUAAUCUAAUAGUGUUCUGUCAGAUUCUAUUUUGGGGACAUUGUCCCGAGAAAAGAUGUGAACUGUGGGAUUGGUAGUGCAUGCAUAUUGGGAAUUGGAAAUGAGGUUGGGAUUUGUUGGAUGAUCCUAUGGCUUUAUAAGUCUAAAGAGAAAAGACAGAAAAUAACCAAAAGACAUGGAAAGGGAACUGUUGGCAUGGUAGUGCAUGCUUGUUGGGAAAAAUUAUAAGACAAAAGAGUCAAAUGACUUUGAAUGGGAAUGAACUCUAAGACAAAAGAGAUACAAGAACCAAAGAGUUCUCAUAGUUUGGUACCCUCGGCUUGCAAAAGAGAUAUUGGGAAUAAAAACCUUAAGACAAAAGACAAAAGACAUUGGAAGGGAACUCUUGGGUUUGGUAGUGCAUGCAUGUUGGGAAAAAAUACAAAACAAAAGAGUCGAAUGACUUUGAAUGGGAAUGAACUCUAAGACAAAAGAGAUAUAAGAACCAAAGAGUUCUCAUAGUUUGGUACCCUCGGCUUGCAAAAGAGAUAUUGGGAAUAAAAACCUUAAGACAAAAGACAAAAGACAUUGGAAGGGAACUCUUGGGAUUGGUAGUGCAUGCAUGUUGGGCAAAAAUACAAGACAAAAGAGUCGAAUGACUUUGAAGGGGAAUGAGCUCUAAGACAAAAAGAGAUACAAGAACCAAAGAGUUCUUAUAGUUUGGUACCCUCGGCUUGCAAAAGAGAUAUUGGGAAUAAAAACCUUAAGACAAAAGACAAAAGACAUUAGAAGGGAACUCUUAGAUUGGUAGUGCAUGCAUGUUGGGGAAAAUUAUAAGACAAAGGAGUCAAAUGACUUUGAAUGGGAAUGAGCUCUAAGACAAAAGAGAUACAAUAACCAAAGAGUUCUCAUAGUUUGGUACCCUCGGCUGGCAAAAGAGAUAUUGGGAAUAAAAACCUUAAGACAAAAGACAAAAGACAUUAGAAGGGAACUCUUAGAUUGGUAGUGCAUGCAUGUUGGGAAAAGUUACAAGACAAAAGAGUCAAAUGAUUUGAAUGGGAAUGAGCUCUAAGACAAAAAGAGAUACAAGAACCAAAGAGUUGUCGGUAGUUUGGUACCUUCGGCUUGCAAAAUAAUAUUGGGAAUAAAAACCUUAAGACAAAAGACAUUGGAAAGGAACUCUUGGAUUGGUAGUGCAUGCAUGUUGGGGGAAAUUAUAAGACAAAAGAGUCAAAAGACUUUGAAUGGGAAUGAGCUCUAAGACAAAAAGAGAUACAAGAACCAAAGAGUUCUCAUAGUUUGGUACCCUCGGCUGGCAAAAGAGAUAUUGGGAAUAAAAACCUUAAGACAAAAGACAAAAGACAUUAGAAGGGAACUCUUAGAUUGGUAGUGCAUGCAUGUUGGGAAAAGUUACAAGACAAAAGAGUCAAAUGAUUUGAAUGGGAAUGAGCUCUAAGACAAAAAGAGAUACAAGAACCAAAGAGUUGUCGGUAGUUUGGUACCUUCGGCUUGCAAAAUAAUAUUGGGAAUAAAAACCUUAAGACAAAAGACAUUGGAAAGGAACUCUUGGAUUGGUAGUGCAUGCAUGUUGGGGAAAAUUAUAAGACAAAGGAGUCAAAUGACUUUGAAUGGGAAUGAGCUCUAAGACAAAAGAGAUACAAUAACCAAAGAGUUCUCAUAGUUUGGUACCCUCGGCUUGCAAAAGAGAUAUUGGGAAUAAAACCCUUAAGACAAAAGACAAAAUACAUUGGAAGGGAACUCUUGGGAGUGGUAGUGCAUGCAUGUUGGGAAAAAAUACAAGACAAAAGAGUCGAAUGACUUUGAAGGGGAAUGAGCUCUAAGACAAAGAGAUACAAGAACCAAAGAGUUCUCAUAGUUUGGUACCCUCGGCUUGCAAAGUAAUAUUGGGAAUAAAGACCUUAAGACAAAAGACAUUAGAAGGGAACUCUUAGAUUGGUAGUGCAUGCAUGUUGGGGGAAAUUAUAAGACAAAAGAGUCAAAAGACUUUGAAUGGGAAUGAGCUCUAAGACAAAAGAGAUACAAGAACCAAAGAGUUCUCAUAGUUUGGUACCCUCGGCUUGCAAAAGAGAUAUUGGGAAUAAAAACCUUAAGACAAAAGACAAAAAUGAACCAAGGGUUCAAAAUCAGACAAAGGUAAAAGACUUUGGAUGGGUAGUGCAUGCAAAGUAGAGUGAAGAAGAUCAGUUGUAAAUUGUUGGAUGGUAAAAACGACCAGCAGAGUAAACAAGGCUCAAAACCAGACAAAUGAUUCAAAAGAGUCAAAAGACUUUGGAAGGGAAUGAACUUUAAGACAAAGAGGGAAUAGAACCAAUGAGUUCUCAAAGAGGGGCUUAGAAAAAUCAUAAGACAAAAAGGUAUAUGCGUGCUUCUGUUAAGACUUUGAGUAGAGUUCAAGUAGCAAACUUCUUCGACACAGGUAUAUAUAUCUUCAAACCUUUUUGUUUUUGUUUUUAUGAGCUUUUAAAGUUGUUAGUAAUUAGUUGAUACUAUUAUGAAAAUCACAAGUGAGAGACAUAUAUGUGAAGUAUAGACUAUUUUAAUUUUUAAAAGUAAGUACUUCAGGAGAUGUUGGUAUAUACAUGCUUUCCUCGACUCCUCUGUGAUAAUUUAAUUGAAAAUUGUGUUGAUUUUA